AACGAACGCUGGCGGCAUGCCUAACACAUGCAAGUCGAACGAGACCUUCGGGUCUAGUGGCGCACGGGUGCGUAACGCGUGGGAACCUGCCCUUAGGUUCGGAAUAACUCCCCGAAAGGGGUGCUAAUACCGGAUAAUGUCUUCGGACCAAAGAUUUAUCGCGUUUGGAUGGGCCCGCGUUGGAUUCGCUAGUUGGUAGGGUAAAAGCCUACCAAGGCGACGAUCCAUAGCUGGUCGGAGAGGAUGACCAGCCACACUGGGACUGAGACACGGCCCAGACUCCUACGGGAGGCAGCAGUGGGGAAUAUUAGGCAAUGGGCGAAAGCCUGAUACAGCCAUGCCGCGUGAGUGAUGAAGGCGUUAGGGUUGUAAAGCUCUUUUACCCGGGAUGAUAAUGACAGUACCGGGUGAAUAAGCACCGGCUAACUCCGUG
rnacentral:rRNA from 1 species